rnacentral:rRNA from 1 species
CUGCUGCCUCCCGUAGGAGUCUGGUCCGUGUCUCAGUCCCAAUGUGGCCGUUCACCCUCCCAGGCCGGCUACUGAUCGUCGCUUUGGUGGGCCGUUACCCCGCCAACUGGCUAAUCAGACGCGGAUCCAUCGUAUACCACCGGAGUUUUUCACACUGUUCCAUGCGGAACCGUGCGCUUAUGCGGUAUUAGCACCUAUUUCUAAGUGUUAUCCCCCUGUAUACGGCAGGUUAUCCACGCGUUACUCACCCGUCCGCCACUAA